UCUUGAAAUUGAUAAAGAUUAUCUGAUAAGAGUAGAAAUUAGGAUUAAUAUAUAUAUAUAUACCAUGUGUUAAUAUAUUAAUUUAGGGAAAGAAAAAAAAAAGAGGUAAGAAGAAUAAAGGCUACAGUCGCCAGGAGUUAGAAAAGGGCAAGAAUCUUUGAUCUUUAUUUAUGAAAGUUCAUCUUUACCCCAAAAAAGAAAACAAAAACAAAAGGGCAAAAAAGAUAUUAUCAUAUUGAAAUUGAAAGCCACAGCCAACAGCUUGCGUUAAAGCCUACGGCUUGUGUUUUAUAUUUUUCAAAACACUCAAGUGAAACGACAUCGUUUCAUUUAACCCUAAAAACAAAACACGCGACUCUUCUUCCUCGCAGAGUCAUCUUCCUCGCAGCCAUUUUGCAGACUCAUCUGCAAUCUCUUCCGGUUCAGAAUUGUCCAGAUCUAGCACCGCCUCGCUCCGCCUAGCCACGCCUUGCAACGCCUCUUCACGCCUUGCCUGCGCUAAACGUGCAACUCGCGAAACAGCCCACCAACUUAGACGAUUACCUGCCGCCUCGCUCCGACCCGCGCCCCGACGCGCGCGAAGGCAUGCCUUUGAAAACACUGAUCUAAAAUACUCUUUGGAGACUUUGUAUCCUUCUGUAUUGAUGAUUUCUGCGUGUCCAUCUCCCAUUUACCCUUGUUUUUUGUAGGUAAGUUGGCCGGGUUUACAGAUGGAACUCGUACAGUUGAUAAACCUGAAUUGUUUUCUUCCCUUCUACGAUCAGCAGUAGAAGAUGCAUUCCAUAGAGUCUUCUUCACCAAUUUCCCUUUCUUUGGGUGCAUCGUAUAAUGUGAAGAUCAUUUAUCUUUACUCGCGAACUUCUUCACCUGAACUGUGGCUUGAAACCAAUUAUAAAUACCAAAAGUCAAAAGUGAUUGUAGGCAUAUGAAAAUUAUAAAGAAAUC
rnacentral:lncRNA from 1 species